rnacentral:tRNA from 1 species
UGCCGCCGUAGCUCAGGGGUAGAGCAGCUGAUUUGUAAUCAGCCGGUCGGGGGUUCAAUUCCCUUCGGCGGC